rnacentral:rRNA from 1 species
GAUCCUGGCUCAGGAUGAACGCUGGCGGCGUGCCUAACACAUGCAAGUCGAACGAAGCACCUUACUUGAUUCUUCGGAUGAAGGUCUGGUGACUGAGUGGCGGACGGGUGAGUAACGCGUGGGUAACCUGCCCUGUACAGGGGGGAUAACAGCUGGAAACGGCUGCUAAUACCGCAUAAGCGCACGAAGAGACAUCUCCUAGUGUGAAAAACUCCGGUGGUACAGGAUGGGCCCGCGU